rnacentral:lncRNA from 1 species
CUAAUUCAUCCCGAGAUGAAGAGAGGCCUAGACUUCUCUUCAUUACUCUAGUUAUUCAGAGUUUUUUUAAAGUAGCCCUAUGAGAGUUGCAACAAGUAAAUUCUCCUGGAGUUUUCGUGAUAAAGAGGGCAUUUUUUCCACAAGCUGAGGACGGCUUCAUAGAAGAGCAGAUUUGAAUGAAGACAUACAAACUGAUAGACAUCUAAAAACAAUAUAGGGAAAAAAUGCAACAAAGAGCAAACAAAUAAACCACAAGCGUUCUUGGAGCUUUCAUGGAGUUUCUAUCAGCCUUUUACUUUAGGCAAAUCUCUGAUGAAGGUUAGUCAAGCCUAAAUUGUUAAA